rnacentral:rRNA from 1 species
UACAGGGGGUGCAAACGUUGCUCGGAAUCAUUGGGCGUAAAGCGUGCGCAGGCGGUUUUGUAAGCCAGAUGUGAAAGCCCCGGGCCUAACCUGGGAAUGGCAUUUGGGACUGCAAGGCUGGAGUGUGGCAGAGGAGACUGGAAUUCCUGGUGUAGCAGUGAAAUGCGUAGAUAUCAGGAGGAAUACCGAUGGCGAAGGCAGGUCUCUGGGCUGACACUGACGCUCAUGCACGAAAGCGUGGGGAGCAAACAGG